CUGGAAUCGCUAGUAAUCGCGAAUCAGAAUGUCGCGGUGAAUACGUUCCCGGGUCUUGUACACACCGCCCGUCACACCAUGGGAGUCGGAAAUGCCCGAAGUCAGUGACCCAACCGUAAGGAGGGAGCUGCCGAAGGUGGAGCCGGUAACUGGGGUGAAGUCGUAACAAGGUAUC
rnacentral:rRNA from 1 species